UACGUAGGGGGCAAGCGUUGUCCGGAAUCAUUGGGCGUAAAGCGCGUGUAGGCGGCUCGAUAAGUCUGCUGUGAAAGUCCAAGGCUCAACCUUGGGAUGCCGGUGGAUACUGUCGAGCUCGAGUCCGGAAGAGGAGUGUGGAAUUCCUGGUGUAGCGGUGAAAUGCGCAGAUAUCAGGAGGAACACCAAUGGCGAAGGCAGCACUCUGGGACGUGACUGACGCUGAGGCGCGAAAGCGUGGGGAGCAAACAGG
rnacentral:rRNA from 1 species